UACGUAGGGUGCGAGCGUUGUCCGGAAUUAUUGGGCGUAAAGCGUGCGCAGGCGGUUUUGUAAGCCAGAUGUGAAAGCCCCGGGCUCAACCUGGGAAUGGCAUUUGGGACUGCAAGGCUGGAGUGUGGCAGAGGAGACUGGAAUUCCUGGUGUAGCAGUGAAAUGCGUAGAUAUCAGGAGGAAUACCGAUGGCGAAGGCAGGUCUCUGGGCUAACACUGACGCUCAUGCACGAAAGCGUGGGGAGCAAACAGG
rnacentral:rRNA from 1 species